UACGGGGGGGGGCAAGCGUUGUUCGGAAUUAUUGGGCGUAAAGGGCGCGUAGGCGGCUUUUCAAGUGACGGGUGAAAUCCCUCGGCUUAACCGAGGAACUGCCUGUCAGACUGGAAGGCUUGAGACCGGGAGAGGUGAGUGGAAUUCCCAGUGUAGCGGUGAAAUGCGUAGAUAUUGGGAGGAACACCAGUGGCGAAGGCGGCUACCUGGACCGGUUCUGACGCUGAUGCGCGAAAGCGUGGGUAGCAAACAGG
rnacentral:rRNA from 1 species